rnacentral:rRNA from 1 species
GGGGGGGGGGCAAGCGUUGUUCGGAAUUACUGGGCGUAAAGGGCGCGUAGGCGGUCCCGCAAGUCCUCCGUGCAAUCCCACAGCUCAACUGUGGAACUGCGAGGGAAACUGCAGGACUUGAGUCCGGGAGAGGAGAGUGGAAUUCCCAGUGUAGCGGUGAAAUGCGUAGAUAUUGGGAGGAACACCGGUGGCGAAGGCGGCUCUCUGGACCGGUACUGACGCUGAGGCGCGAAAGCUAGGGGAGCAAACGGGAUUAGAUACCCCGGUAGUCCUAGCCUUAAACGAUGAGCACUUGGUGUGGCGGGUAUCGACCCCUGCCGUGCCGAAGCUAACGCAUUAAGUGCUCCGCCUGGGGAGUACGGUCGCAAAGGCUG